UACGUAGGGCGCGAGCGUUGUCCGGAAUCAUUGGGCGUAAAGAGCUCGUAGGCGGCCGGUUGCGUCUGCUGUGAAAUCCCGGGGCUUAACCCCGGGCGUGCAGUGGAUACGGGCUGGCUGGAGGCAGGCAGGGGAGAAUGGAAUUCCCGGUGUAGCGGUGAAAUGCGCAGAUAUCGGGAGGAACACCGGUGGCGAAGGCGGUUCUCUGGGCCUGUGCUGACGCUGAGGAGCGAAAGCGUGGGGAGCGAACAGGG
rnacentral:rRNA from 1 species